rnacentral:rRNA from 1 species
UACGGGGGGGGUAAGCGUUGUUCGGAAUUACUGGGCGUAAAGGGCUCGUAGGCGGCCAACUAAGUCAGACGUGAAAUCCCUCAGCUUAACUGGGGAACUGCGUCUGAUACUGGCGAGCUUGAGUGCAGGAGAGGAACGCGGAAUUCCAGGUGUAGCGGUGAAAUGCGUAGAUAUCUGGAGGAACACCGGUGGCGAAGGCGGCGUUCUGGACUGCAACUGACACUGAGAAACGAAAGCCAGGGUAGCAAACGGG